GAUGAACGCUGGCGGCGUGCCUAAUACAUGCAAGUCGAGCGAACAGACGAGGAGCUUGCCCCUUUGACGUUAGCGGCGGACGGGUGAGUAACACGUAGGUAACCUACCUAUAAGACUGGGAUAACUUCGGGAAACCGGAGCUAAUACCGGAUAAUAUUUCGAACCGCAUGGUUCGAUAGUGAAAGAUGGCUUUGCUAUCACUUAUAGAUGGACCUGCGCCGUAUUAGCUAGUUGGUGAGGUAACGGCUUGCCAAGGCAACGAUACGUAGCCGACCUGAGAGGGUGAUCGGCCACACUGGAACUGAGACACGGUCCAGACUCCUACGGGAGGCAGCAGUAGGGAAUCUUCCGCAAUGGGCGAAAGCCUGACGGAGCAACGCCGCGUGAGUGAUGAAGGUCUUCGGAUCGUAAAACUCUGUUAUUAGGGAAGAACAAACGUGUAAGUAACUGUGCACGUCUUGACGGUACCUAAUCAGAAAGCCACGGCUAACUACGUG
rnacentral:rRNA from 1 species